rnacentral:rRNA from 1 species
GAUGAACGCUGGCGGCGUGCCUAAUACAUGCAAGUCGAGCGAACGGAUGCUAAGCUUGCUUUUCUGAUGUUAGCGGCGGACAGGUGAGUAAAACGUGGAUAGACUAUCUCUCAUACUGGGAUACAUUUGGGGAACAGGAGCUCUUAUCGGAUAAUAUUUUGAACCGCAUGGUUCAAAAGUGAAAGACGGUCUUGCUGUCACUUAUAGAUGGAUCCGCGCUGCAUUAGCUAGUUGGUAAGGUAACGGCUUACCAAGGCAACGAUGCAUAGCCGACCUGAGAGGGUGAUCGGCCACACUGGAACUGAGACACGGUCCAGACUCCUACGGGAGGCAGCAGUAGGGAAUCUUCCGCAAUGGGCGAAAGCCUGACGGAGCAACGCCGCGUGAGUGAUGAAGGUCUUCGGAUCGUAAAACUCUGUUAUUAGGGAAGAACAUAUGUGUAGGUAACUGAGCUCAUCGUGACGGUACCUAAUCAGAAAGCCACGGCUAACUACGUG